rnacentral:rRNA from 1 species
UACGUAGGGACCAAGCGUUGUCCGGAUUUAUUGGGCGUAAAGAGCGUGUAGGCGGCCAGGUAGGUCUGCUGUGAAAACUCGAGGCUUAACCUCGAGCUGUCGGCGGAAACCAUCUGGCUAGAGUCCGGAAGAGGAGAAUGGAAUUCCCGGUGUAGCGGUGAAAUGCGCAGAUAUCGGGAAGAACACCCGUGGCGAAGGCGGUUCUCUGGGACGGUACUGACGCUGAGACGCGAAAGCGUGGGGAGCGAACAGG